CAGGUCAACGCGUGGACGGGCGUGCAUCUUCCAUGGGCCGUGCCCUUGGCUCACUCGUACAACAAGCGAUGUGAAUUCCGUGCGUGUGACGAACUUUAAUUUUAGGGGAACUCGCUCAGCUUUGUGGUCGACUUUUCCCACAUGGUACGAUAUGGAUGGAUUGAUUUGCAGUUUGUGACAUGUCAUGUGCGCGUUCGGAGUCAUAUCAGGUGCUGAACCAAGCUGGUAUUGGCAUGGUGGGAAACGGCCUUGAAUGACAUUCCAGAGAGGGAACAAUUUGGCAUGAAUGGUGUUCUUGGUGAGCUGAAA